rnacentral:rRNA from 1 species
CACCUCAGCCAUAUCACCCUGCAGCCCAAGACCGGUUACUCACUAAAGCUAAGCAGGGCUGAGCCUGGUUAGUACCUGGAUGGGAGACCACUAGGGAACACUAGGUUGCUGUUGGAA